GGGCUUCUAGCUCAGUGGUAGAGCAGCUAACUGCAGUAAUUGCAUGGAAUCAGCAAGUCUCCGGUUCGAUUCCGGAGGGGCCCU
rnacentral:tRNA from 1 species